AGUGAACGCUGGCGGUAGGCCUAACACAUGCAAGUCGAACGGCAGCACAGUAAGAGCUUGCUCUUACGGGUGGCGAGUGGCGGACGGGUGAGGAAUACAUCGGAAUCUACUUUGUCGGGGGGGAUAACGUAGGGAAACUUACGCUAAUACCGCAUACGACCUACGGGUGAAAGCAGUGGAUCUUCGGACCUUGCGCGAUUGAAUGAGCCGAUGUCGGAUUAGCUAGUUGGCGGGGUAAAGGAACAGCAAGGCGACGAUCCGUAGCUGGUCUGAGAGGAUGAUCUGCCACACUGGAACUGAGACACGGUCCAGACUCCUACGGGAGGCAGCAGUGGGGAAUAUUGGACAAUGGGCGCAAGCCUGAUCCAGCCAUGCCGCGUGGGUGAAGAAGGCCUUCGGUUUGUAAAGCCCUUUUGUUGGGAAAGAAAAGCAGCAGAUUAAUACACGGCUGUUCUGACGGUACCCAAAGAAUAAGCCCCGGCUAACUUCGUG
rnacentral:rRNA from 1 species